rnacentral:rRNA from 1 species
UAGUCCACGCCGUAAACGAUGUCUACUAGCUGUUGGGGUACUUGAGACCUUGGUAGCGUAGCUAACGCACUAAGUAGACCGCCUGGGGAGUACGGCCGCAAGGUUAAAACUCAAAUGAAUUGACGGGGGCCCGCACAAGCGGUGGAGCAUGUGGUUUAAUUCGAUGCAACGCGAAGAACCUUACCAAGCCUUGACAUCCUCGGAACUUUCCAGAAAUGGAUUGGUGCCUUCGGGAACCGAGUGACAGGUGCUGCAUGGCUGUCGUCAGCUCGUGUCGUGAGAUGUUGGGUUAAGUCCCGUAACGAGCGCAACCCUUGUCCUUAGUUGCCAGCACUUCGGGUGGGAACUCUAAGGAGACUGCCGGUGACAAACCGGNGGAAGGUGGGGACACGUCAAGUCAUCAUGGCCCUUACGGGCUUGGGGCUACACACGUGCUACAAUGGGCAAGUACAGACGGCCGCUAACCCGCGAGGGGGAGCUAAUCCGACAAAACUUGUCGUAGUCCGGGAUCGAAGUCUGCAACUCGACUUC